AGGACGGAUUUGCUUCGGGGAGGGGCAGGACGCCUGGGUUCUCUCUCAGAUUGGGAGAGUGGAUGGGCUAGUCAGUGGUUAGAACAGAGGAGGCUGGUCGCUAGGAUGCCUGGGUUCUAUCCUCUGCUUGGAGACGGGGGGCGUCUAAUAGUUGGUCGGGGGUGGCAGGACUCUUGGAUUCUUUUCCCUGCUUGGAGAUGGGAUGAAGGGUUUAAUCGUUAAAGGGAGGUCAGGAUGCUUGGUUCUCUCCCCGGUUCUGGGAGGGGAGUGGGGUCUUCUGGUUGGAGAGUGUGUGUGUGUGUGGAGAGGGCCUUUGGGACCAGCAAUCCUGGGUUCUUUCCCCUGCUCAGAGAUGGGAGGGGGGUGUCUAAUGGUGAGAACAGGGAGGUCAGGGGACUGGGAGGUAAGGCUUUUGGGGUUUCAGUCCCAGCUCUCCCCAUCUGUAUAUGGAUGCCUCCCCCUUGGUGGGUUGCCGGAGCUGGAAUGCAGCUGGGAGGUAACUGGCCCAGAUUCUGCCAUGCUUGCCCUAAAUCUGUGCUGUUGCUGAAGGAUCCCUAGGGUCCAUCAGCCCAGGGAGCCCAUCUAGCCUGGCCUUUGAGAGUGGCACCUUCUUGUGGACAAUUGUGGAAUAACCUGCUCAGGGGAGUAACUUCCUCCUGCUCCCCUUAUUGCUGAGCCAUGCCCUCAACUGCAGACUUUCCUCCUGCCCCCUCACUCCAGGGCCGUGGCUCCUCUGCCUUGCUGGGAGUGAUCCAAGAACCUCUGAUUGGCCAUUCAACCUCUGUUGAAUUCAUGUGGUGACCCCAAACCAAGGAAAUUCAAUCCCUACAGCCUGAUGAACGCUGGACAAAUUCUUUGUGCUUCUGCAGCAGAUUCGACCCUGGAAUGAUCCCAAAGCAGAAUUCAGGCUGCGGAUUCUAAUGAGAGAAGAUGGAGAGAACAGGCAAUGAAAUCAUCUGCCCUGGUGAUGUGAUUUGCAGAGAAGCUGGGGGAGGGGAAGUGGAUGAGCCGGGUUUGUGAGCUGGGAGGAGGGCACUGGGAAGCGAUAAGUAUGGAUUUGAAGGGGCUGAUUUGAUCCCAUUGAUUUUUCAGGAGGCCAACGCUCACACACACAGGUCAAGAAUGAAAUCCUGGUGCUGGCAUUCAUCCUCAUGGACGCUUAGGGGAUGGAGGCAGUGGGAUGCAGUUGGGUAGUUUUGUUUCCUUGGGUGAAGUGGAUGUCCCUGCAGAAUAAGACAGGCUUGUGGCCUAUGCUGAGGCAGUGCUGCCAGAUGUAGAGGUUCUUUUUGGGCUCCAGGGUCAUCUUGAGUGACUCAUCUUCUUGGGCUUUGAUCCAAUUCUCCUGCUCCGUGUGGAUGCUUCUCCCGCCGUACUCGGCCCUGAGGGAGAACUGGGCCUGGGUGAUGAGCUUGGUGAGGGCUCCGGACCCAAGGGACAGCUCAGCGGAGAUGCUCCAGUUGUGCUCGACGCUGGACAUCUGGUGCUUGGCAUGGCCCACUUGCGGGUGACCUUAUCAGACCAGGCGAUGGGGGAAUCGGAAUUGUUGUGCAGGGACUUGAUACACUCCCAGCUGCUGGUUGAGGUGCCCUUGGUGAGGGUCAGCCCCCUGGGGAAGAAGUUCACCAUGUUGGGGUGGACGGAGAAGGAGAUCUGUUGGUGGGCUCAGUACUACGUGUAUAUGAACAUGAGCUCUACCCACCAUUUCUCAUCCGCCUUCAGUACUGUUGGGAAGAAGUAGUAGAGGCCCUUGCAGCAUUCAGGAUGCAGGGGAGCAUCCAUCCCAUGUUCAUCUGUGCCCAUGUCAAGGACAGAGCACACAACACGCUGCUCUAGGAAGAUGAUGUGGAACCCAGAAGCAAGUACAUGUAGUGGUCCCCGCCACAGCAGUUGGGAUGCAGCUUAUGGACCUUGGCCUCAGCAUCUGUGCUGAAGUCCUUUACCACCCGGUAGCAAUCCAGGUUGGAGCAGAUGAUAAAGAAGCCCUUUUGAUUAUCGAAGAUGUCGGUGCCCGAGGUGUCAUUGUGAGGGACCAAUGGUCCAUCGGCAGGACUCCAGUCCUGAGACGAGGAGAAGUGAGGGCAGGAUGUUAGCUCAUCUCAUCUUAUCCUUUGUGAACCUUUGAUGCUUGAAGACCCCCAGUUCCAAGAGCGACCAGGCACCUGUCCAUGAUGAAGUCUCCAGAUGUGCCCUGCAGACUAAUCUCCAGGGGGUGGCGCAAUCCUGAGGAAGGGGAAAGCCCAGCGACCUGCCCCAUGAGGAUUCCACCUCACACGGGCUCCCACUUACCACCAUGGAUCUGUCCAACUGGGACAUGUCUCCUCCAUCUCACCCCAUAAGUGCGAAGGGCUGCCCUGAGUGGAGAUAAAGAGGGGAGGAAAUAUCGACAGUAGCUCGAGGACUAACUCUGUGCCCUGCCAGGAGUCCAUGAAUAGAGCUCACAGGAAAACAACGCACCAAAGGUCCCUCACUCCUGACCCGCAACCCCCCAGCUUUCCCAGCCCUGGGCUCAGCCCUCGCCACCAGCUCUGCCGGUGCCCCUCAGUCCCAACACACAAGCCCCCUGCUAGCCCAGCCCUGGGGUCCCCCUGCCCCAAAGUUCCAGCUGACACUCCCACCUGGUAAUUGCUCUCAGCUGAUGACAGCUCCGCUUGGGGCCAGGAGCGAGUUCCUGGGUCGUACUGAGAUGGACGGGACCUUGGAGAAGAGCAAAACCAGCCCUGCAAUUCUCUGGAUCUAAACGCUGAUGGGGUCUGUGUAGAAGUAACAUUUUAUAUUUGUACUAUAAGAAUUAAUGUAUAAUUUAAUCAUCCUGCCAGCCAUCCCUUUUGAACAGCAGAAAGGAAAGACCCUCUGGGACGUUGGUAAAAACACAUCUGACAGACUGCCAGUGUCUGUACUAAUUUAAGGCAAAAACAGACCAAAACAAUCUUUAUAACUAAUUAUGGUCACCCUUUUGUUUUAAAAUAAGUUGUAAUGUUUACUAUGGUUUCCUAUAUGUAUUAUAGAUUAGGCAGUCUAGUUAAAUGUACAUUUCUUUGUUUUAAGGUUUAGUAAGUAAAAAACAGAAUCUUGUAUUAUGUCUACAUUUAAAAAAAAAUAUAUAUUUUUUUUUUUGAAAAGCCCAGGCCACAAUGUGAACUGUUUUAAUGACAAAAUGUAGUCAGGUUUAAUUUACAAUGCCUUUUCUUUGUCAACAUACAAACUACUGUAUACCUUUAAAGGUCUCUGUAAAAAAUGGUUUAUGUAAAUAAAAAAAUGUAUGCAUUUAAAAAAAAAAAGUGUAAAGGCCCUUGUUAUAGCCAAAUCAAAAAAAAUAAAAUAAAAACCAUCA